AGCGAACGCUGGCGGCAGGCCUAACACAUGCAAGUCGAACGAACCUUUCGGGGUUAGUGGCGGACGGGUGAGUAGCACGUGGGAACGUGCCUUUAGGUUCGGAAUAACUCAGGGAAACUUGUGCUAAUACCGAAUGUGCCCUUCGGGGGAAAGAUUAAUCGCCUUUAGAGCGGCCCGCGUCUGAUUAGCUAGUUGGUUGAGGUAAUGGCUCACCAAGGCGACGAUCAGUAGCUGGUCUGAGAGGAUGAUCAGCCACAUUGGGACUGAGACACGGCCCAAACUCCGACGGGAGGGAGCAGUGGGGAAUCUUGCGCAAUGGGCGAAAGCCUGACGCAGCCAUGCCGCGUGAAUGAUGAAGGUCUUAGGAUUGUAAAAUUCUUUCACCGGGGACGAUAAUGACGGUACCCGGAGAAGAAGCCCCGGCUAACUUCGUG
rnacentral:rRNA from 1 species